AUGGAGUUAGGUUUCACUACAAAAUUGUUUGUGACCUUUCAUCUCUCACGAAUAGAGGCUCUCCUUCCUCCGCGAACGGCGCCACUGCAACUCCUUCAUUCAUUUUCCGACGAAUACUCCGCCAUGCCUUAUCGUACGUCGCAGUAUUCAGCAUCAACAUUGUGUCUCACUGAUUCACUUCUCAUAUCAGACUCUACUUCGCUUCACAUUUUCAGAACCACCGUCUUCGGAUUCACCUUCUCCGUCUGUUUUCGAUCUUCUCCUUCGUCGACUCAACUUUUCGCCGCCUUUUCACAGCACCAUGGCUUAUCUUCUCAAUUUAGCUUUCGUUCGGUUUCGCCGCAGCUCAGUCGCAACUUUGUCUAA